UGGGCACAUUAAAAAAAAAAAAAGGAGCUAUGAAAACAAAUACCAUUCAAAUAAUUAGGAUCUUAUGCCUGAGGCCAGCCUUGAUGCCAAGCAGGGACUUCCCUGCAGGAAUCGGAGCUGAGCCUGAUCCCAAAAGGAAGAAUCUGGGCACAAGAAGAAAGAUGACUUGAGGACAUCUCAGGAAUCAACAAGACCCCACACAUUGAAGGCUAAAAAGUACAAAAGUAUAAACAUUUCAAUUGAGAAGAGAGUUCCUGGGACUCCUGCUUGAAAAGAGUGUCCUAGGGAAUUGGUUCCCCAGGAUUCAUUUCCCCAUGCUCAACCAUCCGGGGACUCAGAGGCCACUGCAGCCAUAGCUCAAGGGCCUGGCUACUGCUUCCACUGACAGCAGAUCUUGGCAUGGUCCACAUGAUGCUAGUUUUACUGGAAUCCAAAAUUCAAGAGACUCUGAAAAAUGUUAGAACUGUUGAGACUUUGGGGAAGGGAUUAUAUCCCAGCUAUACAUGGGAUAGUUAGGCAGAAUUAUGAACUAGCUAUUAUCUUUAUUUGGAGAUAAUUAUGGUUUAAGAAGAUAUUUGGGGAUGUGAAGUCAUCAAGGGGUGGAUUGUGAACAUUAAUCUUGAUUGUAAUCUUCAUGGAUUACAAAAAAACCUAGCAGAUUAGUAGACCACCCUCCUAUGUCUGGGUGGAUCAUGGAGGUGUGGCUUUGGGGACUGUAUAUGGCCCCUCACCCUUUCCUUUCUGGCACCCUGCUCUGCUUCCCAGCUGUCAUGAACCGAGCAGCUUUGCUCCACCCUUCCACCGUAACCUUCCUGCAUUGGAGCCUACCAACCAAAAAUUGAAUCUCCUGAAGUGUGAGGAUGUCCCUGAUUGAUUCCGUAUGCCUUGGAGACCUGCAGUACAUUUGCAUACGGGCAGCUGGGGGAUGGAACAAGAAUCGCAUGGCCAGAGGACCUACCAGGUUUUCCCGCAGGGCUCGCCAGGCAGGGCACAGUGGCAGCAGACACUUGUCACGUGGCAGGCUUCUGGGCCGAUGAUGUAUGACCUGCUGGUGCUACUGAAUGGUGCCCUUUGUUCCCGGAGAUCCCAUGUGCCCCCUUUUUAUGAAGUUGUUGAUUCAGAGGGGCAGGAAAGCUCCACAAAUCCCACUGCAGGCCUAGCUCUUGCCAUGCCCAGGUUACCAGCUGCAAAAAAGGAGCCCCCUUCCCUGUUCGCUGGACCAAGAAGCCCAAGGUGGGAGCCAGCAGCUCAGGGAGGAAGGAACUUGGCCUCUAUUUGCAGGACGAAAUCCAGCCAGAGACCCCAGAGCCAGGUGGGAAGACUCCGACAACAGGAGAUAGGGCUGACUUCUUAGCCAGCAGGAAAUCUCUGCGUCCUGAGAGGAUGAGGAUUAAAAGGCACCCUUCCCCUGGCCUCUCUUCUCCUGGCUUCCAGACUUGGUGAGGUGAACCCAGAGUGGAUUUCAGCUCAUUCUUUCUCUCUCCAUCUUGUGGCCCAGCUUCGGGGACCUAGCAAAGGACUGGACAAGAAAAGGGCUUUGCCAGGAUUUGACUCAGCCUUUCUGGCAUGGAGACAGCUGAUGGACCUUCAUAUCUAGCUGCUCCAGGAAGCCUCAGGCUCUGGCUCUGGUGCUGACCCAGUCUUAAGUUCCUUCUCCAAAGCAGCUGCACAAAUCCCACCAAGAAUUCUCUACCUGUGAGACCACUUCCCCCAAACUGCUGGGUUUUGUGUUGACUGCUAAUAGGUAACAGAUUCUUAUCACCUGAAAAUAAGACCUAGCUGAGAAAGAUUCAGCCUUCAAAAGUAGAGAUCAAAAAUGCCAGCCCCAGGGCCUGGGAUUUAGCUCAGUGGUUCCGGCACCUGCCUUGCAAGCACAAGGUCCCGAGUUCGAUCCCCAGUACCAAAAAACAAAAAAUGCCGGCCCCAAUCAGCCUAUUCCUGCCUUACCUGCCAUCACUGUUCUGGCUUGGUAGCUACUCUGUAAGGCAGUCUUUCCCAACUAGGUCUUAUUUUCAGAAACAUGGUAUCGUGAGCUCAAAGGUACACUGCUGACUGAUCCUCAAUUACUUCAUUCUGAACUCAGAGGCUCUGUGGCACAAAUGUUCAUAGACACUGAGGGCCCCACCUGGCACUUGAAUAAAAAUACAAGCAAAAGGGGAGACAGACACCAUUGCCAGGCCAAGAAAUGACAAGCCAGUAAUAAAGAGCAUCCACACACGUCACAGUUGUAAGGUGGCUUUAUGUUCGAAUAUGUAAAAUAAAAUGUCCAUGCUAUAUAACAAAACACUUGAAGUUCCAUAUCACCUGUUAGCUAAUGUGUUUUCUAAUAAAGCUUUAUCUGGAGUGUGUGUUUAUAUAAUAUAUAUGCUUUAUCUAAACCGUUCUUAUUUUUU
rnacentral:lncRNA from 1 species